rnacentral:rRNA from 1 species
AUGAUGGUCAUAUCUGAGGUCAACAUUGGCUGCAAUGAAUCGGACGCUGUGAUCGCGAGCUCACAGGAGCUCGGAAUCGUACCCGUCCAGAAUUGCUGUGAGAUUCGAUACGCGCCCGACAGAUGGGCCCCGCCCGCACGGAAGGUUGCACGGCGUCGACGGAGCGAGGCCCGAGCCGUGGCUCGAGACGUCGCCGGCGUCCUGAUCCGUGGAUCAGAUUCGGUGCAUUCCGGUAGCGCCGACAGUGCACGCAGUAAAUUCAGUAGGUGGGGCGUUGGGUGGUAUGGCAGUGAAGUUGGAUUAGGCAUUCUUCGCAGGCGGCGAGACGGUGAGGAAAUCUACUACGGCGGAGGCGAUUCCGCGUCCGAGGGAGCUCACAGGUGGUCCAGCGGCGAUGCAGCCGAUAAACAGCUACUAGAGGAGGUGAAUGAUAACAACAGCACUAUGGAGCCUGUGCGGUUGCCGGUCGUGGCACCGGCAGAGGUUGAGCUCCCAGCACCUGAAGCUUCAAGUGCGGACGGCCAGAUCUGUCGUGAAGAGGCCCCUGCAGAAGCUGGAAGUGCAGAUAAGGGGCAGAGUUCAGAGCACUCUGUAGAGCAGUUGGAUCCGUGGACCAGGAAAACAUGCUUGGAGGUUACUGACAGCGAAUUUCGAUGGGGCCUCUCCACUACCCAGUUAUGGCACCGCCGCACCGGAGGCGGGGGAGCUCCUGCCUAUGGCAGGGGGCAGCGCCACGGGGCAGAUCUGUGCGGCGCAAGGGGCGGCAGAUGCGAAACUGAAGCUUCCCCACAACCUUCGGAGCAGUCAAUUGAGCAGAUGGACACGACACACGACGGACCCCAAUGUCCUGAUCGAGCUACUGUCAUGGAGAGGGCAAUACGUGGAUUUGCUUCAGAUAUUGGAGACAACGCCAUUGUGCCGAAGCUCGGAACAAUAUUCGAUACAUUGGGUGAAGCAUACGAUUUUUACAAUCUGUAUUUAUGGGAGAAAGGAUUUGCCAUUCGAUAUGAAAGUACAUUGAACGUAAUACGUGUUGGGUUGGCCAUCUCGGGGUGUUGGUACGGCAAGGAUAACGAGACCACAGGCGCUCGCGCUCACAACAACACUUUCGCCAUCUGCAAUGGUAACUUUAUUGGUGUAUUGGUCUUCCAGACUGUUCCAAAGGAUGAGGCUAUGAUCUCAUCGUGCAGCGUUAGAGGUUAA